ensembl:misc_RNA 7SK 7SK RNA
GCACUCUGGGCCAUGAGCUAUGGCACGUGUCACCCGUUGCUUGGCAGGGUAGAUGUGGCUGAUCUGGCUGUCUAAGCAGACAUCCCUUUCCUCCCUCAUGGUUUCAUGUGUGUCCCUCCUCAGACGCAGCUCAGCUGGUGAGGGUAACAGUCCCCAUGUAAAAAAGGUCCAGUCUCUGGUCAAGGGUGUGCAAGCAGUUGCUGCGCUUUCCUAUCAGGACCUCCAAAGGUGGGCUCUGGACCUGGACUGACCUACCUGAUACCACACAACUGUUGUAGGCCAGGGCAAACCGCUCAUCAAAAACAAACAGCUUCCCUUUGUAAAAACCAUCAGGAAACUCU